rnacentral:rRNA from 1 species
UUACCAGACUCCUACGGGAGGCAGCAGUGAGGAAUAUUGGUCAAUGGGAGAGAUCCUGAACCAGCCAAGCCGCGUGAGGGAAGACGGCCCUAUGGGUUGUAAACCUCUUUUGUCGGAGAACAAAACCCGGGACGUGUCCCGGACUGCGUGUAUCCGAAGAAAAAGCAUCGGCUAACUCCGUGCCAGCAGCCGCGGUAAUACGGAGGAUGCGAGCGUUAUCCGGAUUUAUUGGGUUUAAAGGGUGCGUAGGCGGUCCGUUAAGUCAGCGGUCAAAUGUCGGUGCUCAACACCGGCCUGCCGUUGAAACUGGUCUUCUUGAGUGAGCGAGAAGUAUGCGGAAUGCGUGGUGUAGCGGUGAAAUGCAUAGAUAUCACGCAGAACUCCGAUUGCGAAGGCAGCAUACCGGCGCUCAACUGACGCUGAGGCACGAAAGCGUGGGGAUCGAACAGGAUUAGAUACCCGCGUACCU